CGGAGAAGCAAACCACCAGUUCGUUUCUUUCCAAACAUUCUUAUAAAUACAAUUUGAAUUUAAAUAACAUUAAAUUACUCAUGAUGAUGGUAAUAAUAACAUUAUUGAUCUGAGGUGCCACUGUCAGUGCUAGACUUUUGGAACCGUCUUAACUUCCCCCUUACGGCUCCCCUGGUUUCGAUAGCUGGCUUUCCUAAUGAUUUCCGAAUGAUUAAUUCAAGAAUGAGUGGUGUUGUAAAUGCAGAUAAUCUUCAAUCGUCCAUCAUUGGGAAACCGUCAUCAAAAAGAGGUACUGCGGAACUUGUCAAAACAACUUUGUUCAAAAAGGAGCCAGAUGGGGUAACGUAUAGAAUCCCUUCCCUGCUGUAUCUGCCGGAAAGGCACACGUACCUCGCCUUUGCAGAGAAGAGGACCUCUCCAUCAGACAGCGAUGCGAAAAUCCUCGUGAUAAGAAGAGGGACAAUAACAAAAGAUGGUGCCAUACAGUGGUCCCCGUGCGAGGAGCUGUCCACAGCCCAGCUCCCAGACCACCGCACCAUGAACCCCUGUCCCGUGUACGACCGCAAGACCCAGACCGUCUCCCUGUUCUUCAUCUGCGUCCGGAGCAACGUCACGGAGCGCCUCCAGAUCCUGACGGGCCGCAACCAGACGCGGCUGUGCCGCGUCACAAGCCGCGACCACGGCGCCACGUGGGGCCCCACGGCAGACCUGACGGACAGCGCCUUCGGGGACGCCGUGGGCCGCUGGGCCACGUUCGGCGUGGGGCCCGGCCACGGCGUCCAGCUGGCGGCCGGGCGCCUGGUGGUGCCCGCGUACGCCUACUACGAGGGCGUCAGGUGCCUCUGCCUCUGGCCCGUCCCGCUCACGGUGAAGCCGCGGGCGCUCGCCGUCUACAGCGACGACGCCGGGCUCACGUGGCGCGCGGGCGCGCUGCUGGGCGCGGCGUCCUGCGAGUGCGAGAUGGCGGAGGUGGUGGACGGCGAGGGCGUGGCUCAGCUGUACUGCAACGCCCGUCACCGCGGGGGGGUCCGCGUGGAGGCGCUGAGCCGGGACGGCGGCGGACGCUUCGAGAAGCCCCGCCGGGCGGAGCAGCUCGUCGAACCGUGCAACGGUUGCCAAGGCAGUGUCGUCGGCUUCCCCGCCCCCGAACCGCCGACGGGCGGAGGGUCGGAGGGGGCGGAGCGCGCGCGGACCUGGCUGGCGUUCAGCCAUCCCACCCACGGGGAGAGCAGGCUGAACCUGGGCGUGUAUUUGAACCGUGCCCCCCUGAGCCGGUCGGGCUGGGACCCCCCGAUGGUGAUCCACCGCGGGCCCAGCGGCUACUCAGACCUGGCCUACAGCCAGGAGGACCAGCGCUUCUCCUGUCUGCUGGAGUGCGGGGAGAAGAGCGAACUCGAGCAGAUCGCCUUCAUGUCUUUCACGCUGGAUGACAUCAGGCAGACCGCCAGCUAGGCCAUGAGAUUUGAAUUUGUCAAUUAAAUCUCCAUUCAAUUUGCACGCGUGCGCUGAGAGUGUGAUGAAAUUCCACAAUGUGUCUUCCUCAAACCUAAUUAGUUGGAGGAUGUUGUGACGAAGAGAAGGCCUCAGGGCCACAGAGCAGGAGAUGAAGACCAAAGGGUUGACAUGGCAACCACUGGAUCGGAAGGCACAAGACCGAAGAGGAUGGAGGGGUUUCAUCGAUGGCCUAUGUUCCCGAGGGAACUUAAAGGCCUAACUAACUAACUACUGUGAAGAAACUACUAAACAAACAAACUAAGCAUCAAAGCAUGUUUUUAGGACAGGGAGCUGGAAUUCAGGUUAUAAUAAUAACGAAAAACAAUGCAAUAUAAUUUAUAAGCAAUACUUUUUUUCUUUGACAGCUUUUGAAUACAAUACUAAAGAUACGUGUUCACUUAUUUUUAGUAUAUUAUUAUUCAAUAGCCUGUAUAGCGAUUUCUGAAUGUCAGAAUGUACUUGCUUUGAGCCUUAAGACAAUAAUUCAAACUCAGUCCACUAUUAUGUAUAUCAUUUUACUUAAGUAAUUUGGCCACUUCUUUUAUUUUGUGUAUUAUUCCUGUUUGAAUUAAAAUGGUAUCGCUUGGUGCUUUUGAAUGGAAUCAUUCCUUACUCUGGAAUAGAUCCGCUUCGAAAUAUGUUCUGCACUACAUUUAGCAUUAUACAUUCACAGUACACUUACUGAAGAGGAAUUUGCUUGUAAAGAUGUUUACCAUCAACUAAUCAAUUCCAAAGCAUAUGCUGCCUUUUAAAACAACGCCAAAUUAAAGUUCUCAUGUUGUCAACCAUUCUGUACUUGUGGAAUAUGUGGAGUUUUUUUAAUCUAUUUUUUAUAUAUGUUUCAUGUAUUUCACCAGCACACAUAACCCUGAGCAGCACUGUAACAAAGAGGCAUUCGGGGUCUGCCUGUCUUGAGUUGAGUCCCAAGAACUUCAUCACUAGGCCCCUGGCUGUUUCCCAAUGUGAAGGCUGCAGCCUUGCUAGGACGCGUCCUUGCUAGUUGCGUCCUAUGGUGAUGAGACUAGAGUGCUAGCUCGAGUGCUUCCUAGAGUUUUUAACGUCGGACUUUGGAACGACUUGCUAGUGUGGAUGCGCUUCCGCUUCUGCUUUUUAAGUCAGCGUUUCCCCUUGUAAACACAUAUGCACUUCUGAAAAAAACAUGGAAGCAAUGAAGCUGCUCAAUAUUUUUUUGCUGUGGUCUGAGCUGGAGGAGGACGCCGAACGACUCCAUCAGCGGAGGGUUGAACGGAGGAGACGACGGCUCUAUUCGGAGUCUCUGCCAUCAGAAUGUCGAGGUAUGUGAGCUUUGAAUGUCUGAAUUGUAUUGUAUUGAAUUGUUGCAUUGACAAUAGUGCUGCUUCUCAUGUGUUUUCUUUGGGGCAACGCAUAUUCUAAUUGAACAUGGUUCAAAUUGAGCUGAUGGUUUAUAAAAAAUCAGAGUUUAAGCUUCAUAAGUUUGCGCAAUUAUUAUUGCCAGUGGGGUGGGGGAAGGCUAUUCUUAUGACAAGCCUAUUCUUAUGACAAACAUCUCAAAGAAUACUACAUGCAGAAAUCUAUAUUAUUUACCUAUCUAUCUAUAUUUGCUCAUCUGUUGUUGCAGGCCAGGCAUUAAUGCCAAAUCAAUGCCACCGUGCCGGUGCUGCAGCGCUUCUUCCAGGGAGAGGACACCCGCCCUGCUUUCAGGCUUAGCCGGCAGGCUAUCCAGGUCCUCCUUGGGGUCCUCCAAACGGAGCGACAGCACGGUUGGGGGCCCACCAUGGAGACCCUGGUCUUUUUGUUUUGGAUCGCUACUGGCGCAGUUGUGUCCAGAGCUUUUGGCAUUCCAUUGUCAUCUGUCCAUAGAAUGGUGCACAGCAUUGCGGAGGAGGUGGUAGCUGUGCGGGGCAGUUUCAUCAAGCUGCCAUCAAAUGAUGAGGAGGUCAAGGCCAUGGGGGAAGGGUUUGCCCUGCUGGUAGGGCGCCCUGCUUUCGCUAAAGCAGCUGGGGCCAUCGACGGGGCCCACAUCAAAAUUAAAUGUCCUGGCGGCCCUGAUGUUCAAGACUACGUGAACAGGAAGCUGUAUCCAUCCAUGGUGCUGCAGGCAGUCUGUGACCAUCAGGGUCGCUUCAUUGACACCUUUGUGGGCUUCCCAGGAAGCGUGCAUGAUGCACGCAUCCUGCGAAAUAGUUCGAUUUACCUGGCUGGCAAUUACCCUCCACCAGGCCAUUUCAUCUUGGGUGAUGGUGGCUAUCCAUACCUUAAACAGCCGAUAGCCCUUAUCACACCAUAUAAGCGGCCACUCAGAGGCAUGGCAGAGCAAUGGUUUAACACAUCACUCUCGGGCCCGCUCAAUUGUUGAGCGGGCCUUUGGGAUGAUGAAAACCCGCUUCAGUGCAUCUUUUUAGAGGCACUUGCAGUGCAUAGUGAGUUUGUGCCAAAGGUAUAUGUAAUUUCAUAAUUAUCCAUAUUUGUCUGUUUAACUUUCUUAUUGUACAUUAUAAUUGUAAAAAAAACUUACUGCACAACAUUUGUGUUGGUGUGGGCGAUGACCUCCCAGUGGAGGAUGGGGCCAUGGAGGGAGAUGACCCCUCCUCCUGAAGGAGAAUGUGGCACGGAGUCACAGAGAGGAGCUCCUUGGCGUGCGGCCCUGGCCAAUGCCAUUACCCCUCUUGAAGUGGCUCCACAGGACCACGACUACUUUGUUCUGCCUGUGACCGGACCAAGACAUACAUUUUAACAUAAUUUUUUUUGGUAUUUUUUAAUCACUUUUGUCCGUUAUGAAUGUGUUUUUCUUGUGGUUGAUCGAAUCCUCUUUAUUUAAAAUAA